AACGAACGCUGGCGGCAGGCCUAACACAUGCAAGUCGAGCGGACAUCUUCGGAUGUUAGCGGCGGACGGGUGAGUAACGCGUGGGAACGUGCCCUUUGCUUCGGAAUAGCCUCGGGAAACUGGGAGUAAUACCGGAUGUACCCUUUGGGGGAAAGAUUUAUCGGCAAAGGAUCGGCCCGCGUUGGAUUAGGUAGUUGGUGGGGUAAUGGCCUACCAAGCCGACGAUCCAUAGCUGGUCUGAGAGGAUGAUCAGCCACACUGGGACUGAGACACGGCCCAGACUCCUACGGGAGGCAGCAGUGGGGAAUCUUAGACAAUGGGGGAAACCCUGAUCUAGCCAUGCCGCGUGAGCGAUGAAGGCCUUAGGGUUGUAAAGCUCUUUCACCGGGGAAGAUAAUGACGGUACCCGGAGAAGAAGCCCCGGCUAACUCCGUG
rnacentral:rRNA from 1 species